rnacentral:tRNA from 1 species
GGGCCUGUAGCUCAGGUGGUUAGAGCGCACGCCUGAUAAGCGUGAGGUCGGAGGUUCAACUCCUUCCAGGCCCACCA